UCCCUGGAGGUCCAGUGGUUAGGACUCUGCACUUCGACUGCAGGGGGCACAGGUUCGAUCCCUGGUCAGGGAA
rnacentral:tRNA from 1 species